AUGGCGGAUGCAAGGAACAAGUUCACACAACCAGAUGAAGAUACACCCUUUAGACGUCACUUGAAGGAAGUCACUAGAUAUCUAAACAUCGGAGUACCAAGCUUCACCGGGACCUACAACACCACUUUACCUGAAGAGGAGCGCUGGAUGAUUCAAGUUCAAGUUCCAGGAAGGACGCUCAUGCCAGUCACUGGACCCAUAGAAUUUUCCUUUGAUGCACCAACCUGGAGUCUAGGAAAGAGCAUGGCAGCUCACAUCGCCAUGGGACGUAUUGGAGAAGUUUACCGCAAUGAUCUUAAGGAUACUAUCUACCAGAUUUGUGGGCGCCGAGAUGAGCACUGGGAGAUGAUCAGCACCAAGAAGGAUAGAUCAAUUGCAGCUUUUAUCCAGGAGUUAAACCAGCACAUUCGACGUCAGGAGAACCAGAUGUGCGUAGACAUGAUAGAUCUGAAGAAGGCGAGGACAAGAAUCACGGAACUGGAGGAAGAACUCAAGGCUACACGUGAAGAUUAUGAAGAGGAAAUCGGAGUACUAGUGGAUAAGAAUGCCGACCUAACAAUGAAGAUCGGAAUAUUUAUGUGA
rnacentral:rRNA from 1 species